CACUUCUAAGGAAGGCAGCAGGCGCGCAAAUUACCCAAUCCUGACUCAGGGAGGUAGUGACAAGAAAUAACAAUAAACCGGCUUAUGCCGGUUUAAUUGGAAUGAGUACAAUUUAAACAUCUUAACGAGGAACAAUUGGAGGGCAAGUCUGGUGCCAGCAGCCGCGGUAAUUCCAGCUCCAAUAGCGUAUACUAAAGUUGUUGCAGUUAAAAAGCUCGUAGUUGGAUUUCUGUGGGGACGGAGCGGCCGGCCGCACAUCGCGGUUCGAGCUAGCGCUUUCCCUACAUCCUGCCGCGAACCGUGCUACCAUUAAUUUGGUGGCGCCGGGGAUCGGCUCGAUUACUUUGAGAAAAAUAGAGUGUUCAAAGCAGGCCACAUGCCUUGAAUAAGUUAGCAUGGAAUAAUAACUAAGGACUUCGGUUCUAUUUUGUUGGUGUUCGGGACUGAAGUAAUGAUUGAUAGGGACGGUUGGGGGCAUCAGUAUUCUGAAGCGAGAGGUGAAAUUCUUGGACCUUCGGAAGACUAACAACUGCGAAAGCAUUUGCCUAGGACGUUCUCUUUAAUCAAGAACGAAAGUUGGGGGAUCGAAGACGAUCAGAUACCGUCGUAGUCUCAACUAUAAACUAUGCCAGCUAGGAAUGAGUGGAUGUUUAAUUACGACUCCAUUCGCACCUUAUGAGAAAUCAAAGCAUUUGGGUUCCGGGGGGAGUAUGGUCGCAAGGCUGAAACUUAAAGGAAUUGACGGGAGGGCACCACCAGGAGUGGAGCCUGUGGCUUAAUUUGACUCAACACGGGAAAACUUACCAGGUUAGACAUAGCUAGGAUUGACAGAUUGAUAGCUCUUUCUUGAUUCUAUGGGUGGUGGUGCAUGGCCGUUCUUAGUUGGUGGAGUGAUUUGUCUGGUUAAUUCCGUUAACGGACGAGACCCCAGCCUGCUAAAUAGCGCGUGUGAGCUUUGCUCGCAGCGAGCUUCUUAGAGGGACUAUGAUGCGCGAUAGCACAUGGAAGUUUGGGGCAAUAACAGGUCUGUGAUGCCCUUAGAUGUUCUGGGCCGCACACGGGCUACACUGGCGCCUGCAACGAGCAUAUCAGCUGGCCCGAGAGGGUCUUGGCUAAUCUUUUGAACCGGCGCCGUGCUUGGGAUUGACCUUUGCAAUUGUUGGUCAUGCAACGAGGAAUGCCUUGUAAACGCGAGUCAUCAGCUCGCAUUGAAUACGUCCCUGCCCUUUGUACACACCGCCCGUCGCUCCUACCGAUGAAUGUUCCGAUGAAAUUUUCGGAGAGCACCUGUGAACUUGGCUCUGCCUUGCGAACGGGAGGCUCAAAGUCACUUAAAUCUGAACAUU
rnacentral:rRNA from 1 species